UAACACAUGCAAGUCGAGCGACAAGGUCUCUUCGGAGACUGGAGGAGCGGCAAACGGGGUAGUAAGGCAUCGGAACGUACCCUCCUGUCCAGGAUAGCCGCGGGAAACUGCGGUUAAUACUGGAUAAUACCGAAAGGUCAAAGGUCCGCCGCGGGAGGAGCGGCCGAUGUGAUACCAGCUAGUUGGUGAGGUAACGGCUCACCAAGGCUUAGACGUCUAGGGGGUGUGAGAGCAUGGCCCCCACCACUGGGACUGAGAUACUGCCCAGACACCUACGGGUGGCUGCAGUCGAGAAUCUUCGGCAAUGGGCGCAAGCCUGACCGAGCGACGCUACGUGCGGGAUGAAGGCCCUUGGGUUGUAAACCGCUGUCAGAGGGGAUGAAAGCGCAAGCUUGACAGAGCCUCAGAGGAAGCGCGGGCUAAGUUCGUGCCAGCAGCCGCGGUAAUAC
rnacentral:rRNA from 1 species